rnacentral:rRNA from 1 species
GAUCCUGGCUCAGAUUGAACGCUGGCGGCAGGCUUAACACAUGCAAGUCGAACGGUAACAGGAGAAAGCUUGCUUUCUUGCUGACGAGUGGCGGACGGGUGAGUAAUGCUUGGGAAUCUGGCUUAUGGAGGGGGAGUAACGACGGGAAACUGUCGCUAAUACCGCGUAGUGUCGAGAGAUGAAAGUAGCGGGACCGGCAAGGCCGGCAUGCCAUAGGAUGAGCCCAACGUGGGAUUAGGUAG